UGGUCAUGAACGCGGAAUUGGUGAACUUUUGUCAUUUUAUUGCGGCUUUCUCUACAGGGUAACGACAUUCAUCUUUUUCGAUUACAUAAGGUAUUUCAAACACUGGAGCACAAGAGGACGUGUGAGGCACAGCCAGACCCCACUGCCAGGCCAUUGGGUACCCAGGAUGUCGUAUUCGAGUUACAGCCUGUGUGACCAGCUCCCGGGGCAUAGUCGUUAAAGCAGUCGAGGUGCAACCUCAUGUUUUGUGUGCCCUGAAUUGUGUACGUCCCCAGGAGUAAAAUGCCGCAAAAUUUUCUCACAUAGACGUUAUAGCUCCCGAAAAAAUCCAAAUUAAAAUCUACUGGCAACACUGUGGCGAAGCAGACGGACGAAACGUCAACUCCGCCAAGUACGGCGGCGAAAAUGUCUCAUGCGCACGACUCUGGGCCGAACACAGCGGCACCUCGGGCGCCACGGAACGGAAGUACUAUGUCAAAACCAAAACUAGAUUUGAUAGGUUGGAAGCAUGUGCGCCAUGUGUAACUUCCCAGACCUCAGUCCCUUGGAGAAUUCUGGAAGUUAGCAAGCGUCUGAACUUCAUCGCAUAUGAGCAUAUGCCGUUCACGAAUGAUGGGGAUUCCGACCUGGACAGCGACGAUUCGCUGCCACCGACACCUCACGAGAACGAACCACGCAACAACCGAAACUGGUGCAGUUGCGGAAACGGCAGAGAGAUGCCGACGCUGUUUGAAUGUCUGUGUUGCCGGGACAUCGCGAAAAUGGGCGAAAAAGAACCGGAAGGCUGUAUUACGGGACAUCGGAAUUUCGAGACGUUGUGUCUCACCUGGCAGAGCUGUAAGUCGUUUACACCCAGUGCCGUGUAUGACAAAGGGAGUCUGGUCAUUAAUGGCACCUGCCUAUACCUGAGGCUCCACCCACUUUUUUGAGGUAUCUAGCCAAUCACAGGUUUAAAUACAGUUGUCUAUUAUUACAUCCAUCCAGUAUUUAUACCUCACCCUCAUUUACUGGGUGCCACCAUUUUGGAGAAACUCGAUUGAUUCGGAUUGAAACGGAUAUAACUGGUGACAGACCAAAACGACGGAUUUUGCGCCUACUUUUAUCAACGCCAUCUGCACGGAGAGAGGCAUGUUGGGAAGGCUCAGAAUUGCAGAAAUGGUUGCUGGCAGAAGUGAUUGGCCAGGAUGGCGGUACAACCGCUUCUUCGUAGCAGACGACAGCCGGUAUGAAGUUUUAUAUCACGUAAUGUAAGUACAUUGAAUCAAAAAUGAGCAAAGGUGUAUGUAUAAAUAAAAUGCAAUUAUAUAAUGCAAAAUCCUACGUAUAAGGGUCGUCCUUCUUGCUAUUUUCCUGGUAUCACGGUCUUAACUCUGCGUAACGUUAUAGCGACGAAACAUCCCAUUUUCACGUCAGUAACGAUGGCGGAGCGAAAGUUGAAGCUGAUUUUGCAGAUGCGUACAUGAGGAUAUAUACUCACAGUAUGAAAUUAAAGUAGUCUGUGAAAAUUUUUGUCACGAAAUCUCCGCUACGCCGUUCCAAGCACCAUCAUCCAUCUUGGAGAAAAUUUGGUGUCAUGGCAGCCCCCAUGGAAAGCGGUAACCAAUGACAUGCGCCUAAGUUUGAUUGACAGGUCGAGACUCUUUUUUGGGCUCCUCCUAAUGGCCAGACUCCCUUUGGCAUACACGGCACUGUUUACACCUAUCUGGGGAAUGAUCUUGAAGACGACGACGAAGACAACGUACACAGUAAAUAUCGGUACAUAGCGUACCGGCAAUUCACAAGCUGUGUCUGGGGACCACUGGGAAAGGACAAUCAGAAUGUUCUCUCCUCUUGUGUUGUGACUAAGAUUCGGGCAGAAUUUCCCUCAGAAAGCUACCGAGGGUUUUUGUACCCAGAUUUGUAACUUAUUUUCUUUUUUAUAAAUGAAAGCAGGUGUGUAUAUAGGAUGCCCCGAGAAAAGUGGUCCAGACCAUUUCACAAAGAGAGCAGUAAAUGAAAACCUGAGUUUGUGUGACUCAAUUGCCACAAACAUAGCCUUCAUAGCCAUCUUUCAUAGCCUUAGG